UUUCUUAGUCGUGGUGUAUUGUGAAUGGAUAAGAUAGGCGGUUCUUGACACGUCUCUGUUUCCUUCCCAAUCCACCUCCCCAUUUAAAUCACUUUUCUCCACCAGUACCACAGCCUGGAUUUCUCCCCCGCCACCAAACGAUGGAGGCUGAUGAAGCCCAGAGAUCCGAAGCGGUUAUCCGGCUGCUAGGGUUCUACUGCGAACCCGAUGACGAGGGUGAUUUUGGGGUUCUCUCCAACGACCGAUAUAUCCUUGCAUGCAUCGUUUUUACCAGAUCGGUCAGAGCUUUGUAAUGGUCGACGACUCUGCAAGCUUGAAGUGGUUUUCGACGGAGAUAAGUCACACUGAUUUUGCUGGAGGAUAUGAUAUCGUCUUGCUGUUCACGGUUUGUUCAUCAAGAAUCCAAUGGUUUCGACCGUCUUAUAUUCUAUGCCUCUACCCAAAAACGUUACAAGUAUAAACCAAAUUCGACUGUCUUUUACGCCAUAUCAACAUGAAACCCCCCGAAUCUCCACCAUUUUUGAGAAAUGGAAGAUGGUAAUGAUUUGGAGCAGGUUACGAGGAGUCCUUCGUACAGAGAGAAUGAAUUUGUUCAUGUUGAGUUAGUUGAUUCUGCUCAAAUGCAUGUUAAUAUGAUUGAUCAGGUGAAGGAUAAGCUCGAUAAAUUGAUGGUUGCUGACAUUGAAUCUGGUAAGAGUAUUGAGAGUUAGGUUCGAACGAGCUCGGGCAUGUUUCUUAACAAAGCUCUGGUCAGUGGUAGAUACAUGGCAAAGGUAGGAACCAAGAUGAGAGUAUGCUCUACGUGUGGUGGCAGAGGUCAAGCUAUGAGAUCCAAGAUUUGUGAUGAAUUCCCCUCCCAAGAUUUGUGUUGAAUUCCCCUCUCUUGCAACAAACUAUAUCAUGAUAACACAGCCACAUACAUAUUGUAAAUUGCGCAACGUGCGACAAUGAAUAACACAAUACAUAUUGUAAACCGCACAACGCGUGGCAAUGAAUAACCCUAGUUAAAGUUAAUAACAAAAAAAUAAUGAAUUAAGUUA